ACGGACAGAGCCCCCUGCCCCCCGGCGGGGACUGAGCGCCCCCGGACGGACGGACGGACGGACAAAGCCCCCUGCCCCGCGGCGGGGACUGAGCGCCCCCGGACAGACGGACCGACAGAGCCUCCUGCCCCCCGGCGGGGACUGAGCGUCCCAGGACAGACGGACGGACAGAGCCCCCUGCCCCCCGGCGGGGACUGAGCGCCCCCGGACAGACGGACGGACGGACAGAGCCCCCUGCCCCCCGGCGGGGACUGAGCGCCCCCGGACAGACGGACGGACGGACAGAGCCCCCUGCCCCGCGGCGGGGACUGAGCACCCCCGGACAGACGGACGGACAGAGCCCCCCGCCGGGGACUGAGCGCCCCCGGACAGACAGAUGGAUGGACAGAGCCCCCCCCCCCGCCUGACAGCUCCCGUAGCUGGUCAGGGACCUGCAGCCCCUAGACAAAGCCCCCCGCCCCCGAGGACGGACGGACAGACACAGGCUAUCCUCAGCCAAAGAACCCCAGCCCUGAUCGCCGGAAGGUGGGGGCUGCCAGCCCUCGGGCUCCCCCCUUCCGGCUCUCACAGGUGGGUGCUGGCUCUGGGUCUUCGCUCACUUGCUCCCCGGGGGCGGCUGGGACAGGAGGGAGCAGGCCCCCAUGGCUGUCAUGGGAGGGGAGGGGAGAGUUCUGGGCCAGGGCCAGGACCAGGGCCAGCUCUGGCACCCCAGGAGCCACUCCUAGCACCCAUUGCCCAGCCAGGAUGAGCCAGGCCAGAAACGCCCAGGGAGGAGCCCUGAUCUAUGAGAACUGACUGCCCAGAGACCCCUGCUCUGUGGGGGGGGGCUCCUCCCAGGGGCUGGGCCCUCACUCUCCCCUGCCCCCACAUGCAGCCCCUGCUCCUGCCCCAUCUGCUCAGGGACAGAACUAUGCCCCCAGCCCCAGAUGCGCCGCCCCCCACCUAGGCUGGGCGGAUGGGGAGUCCAGUGCCAGCCCAGAGCCACCACCCCUCCCCCAGCCCUUCCCAGGGAGUGGGGCCCCAGCAGGGCAAGGCCAUUGCUCUCCCAGCCCUGACUCAUGGUGGGGGGAGGAGGGAGCAGGGGCUGAGCCGCGCAAGAUGUUCCAGGCCUGGGUAUGUCAGGGCAGCCUGGGAGCCCCCUUCAGCUCAGCCUCCUGCUCACGGGUGUGUCUCUCCCUAGUGCCUUUUUCUUUGCAGGGGCCACACAGCCCCUGACAAGCUGUACACAGGGAUCGCCACACCUGCCAGGGAAAUGCACCCACCUCUGGGGUGGGGCGUAGCAGUUGUGUAAUCGCUGUGCAGCCGGUGAGGAUGGGAAGUGAAAGACACUGUGCCCAGUUGAAGUUGCAGGGUGGGACGGAUUUGAGGUUGGUGGAAUUUAGCCCUAUAAGGAAAUUCAAGGGAAGGACAGGCAGGUUUCAUAACCAAGCAGAGACCUCUCCAAGACGGCUCCCCUUUGGAAGAUCCCCGCGCAGGGCCCCGCCAGCAGGGCAAGCCUGGCCCGUGCUGCUUGGGGCACAAGGGAAGUGUUGGCCUCCCUGCUCCGCGGGCUGAUUCCACAAGUGGUGACUCAGGGCCGUGCCCCCGGUCCCUGGGCAGCGGCUGUGCCAAAGCCGUUCUGGGCAGCGCAGAGGAGCCCUAGUACCUUCGAUUUUUUACAGACUUCCACCCUGGUGCCAUCGAUCCCUGCGCUGUUCUUGCCCCCGGAGCUGGGCGGGUGUGACUUGCUGCCAAGGAGGCACAGAGCGACACGGGAGAUGCAGCGGCUGGGGGCUGUGCCCUGUUUCAGGAAAGUGCCUUUCACCCCAGUGACCUCCAGAGCUCUGUGCGAAGGCAGCGGGAGCCAGAGGGUGGAUCAGCCUGGCCCGGGGCCCCCCACCCGAAAGCUGACAGCUCGGGGAACGUGACCAGGUCCAGCACAUCCUGGCUCCUCUCCUGACCCCUCCUCCAGCCAGGAGGCCCCGGGGAUGGACUGGCUGCGAGGGCUGGAACGGGGCUGCCAGCCGGGCCCGGAGGAAGCUCCACUUUGGAUGGAAUCGUGCUGGGAAAUUCAUCUUUGGAGAUUGCGCUGAGCCCAGCCCCAGGCUGCUCGGCACCCUCCAGUCCCCCUGGGAAAGGCCAGUGGCUGCAGGCUCCCCCCGGCACUGGACACCGGAGAAGCAGUGGCAGGACCAGAGGGCAGAUGUCGCGGUGGAGCCGAGGGAGGGAGUCGAGCCCGGAGUUUGCUCCGUGGCUCCCGUGCACAGGGCCUGGUGCUGGGACCUCUGGAGGCUGCCCUGGGCUGGAGGGAGCAGGCGAGGAGCCCAGGAGGGACUGGAGAGCCGCAGCCUCUGCUCAUGGAGAGCCCAGCAGCCCCAUGCUGCUGUGGGAGAGGACAUGGACUGGGCAGAUGUGCCCCUGCCCUGUACAGCCAGGCUCGCUCCCCGUGUGCAGCGGACGGGCCCAGGGCUGCCUGGUGCCCGCCUGCCUCAUGCUCAGGCUGUGCCAUGUUGCUCGCGAAUGGCCAAGCCCCAGCGCACUGGAGAGCCGCGGUCCUCCACCUACCACUGUCUCACUGCCCCGGCUUUCCCCGGGCAUGCCCUGCACGCUGCCCUUGCCUCCCGGCUGUGCCCCCAUCCCUGCCUUGGGGAGAUCCCACCCGUCGUGCCACAGGCAGUCCUCCCCGGUGCCUGCGGAUCUUUCCCAUCCUCCCUGCCGCCUGCAGCUCUGCGCAUGGCCCCAGGGCCUGCUCUGCACAGCUGGGGCGGGAGCUGGCCCCGCUGCGCUGCGUGGCAGGGAGGGGCUCUGUCCCUGGCGUGUUUCCCAGGCCCCUGCCUGUCUGACUCGUGGGCCCAGCUGCACCCAGAUCUCUGUUGUUUGCUGUGGAUUCACCUCCCUAAAUAAAGGGUUGCUGGUACGA